GGUAUUCCAGGACCUCAAGGAAAGAAAGGGGGAGCAGGAAUAAAGGGAAUUGUAGGAGAUCCAGGUCUUCCAGGAAGAGAUGGUGAUUCUGGCAUAGAGGCUUAUCAAGGCUUCCAAGGAAAAGAGGGUGAAGCUGGUAUAGUAGGACUAAAG